AUGGUCACCAGAGGAAAUGCUUGGUUCUAGAAUUUCUUGCAUUUUUAUGGGCUGAAUUGGGCUCUGAAGCCAAAGAAGAGAAAGAAGAAGAACGGACCUGCCGGUUGCUGGGCAAGUGUGUAGAUGCCGAAAACCAUUCCCUUGUUAUUGGAGGACUGUUUCCUAUUGACUCCAGGACCAUCCCAGCAAAUGAGUCUAUUUUGGAGCCAGCAUCAGCAAAAUGUGAAGGGUUUAACUUUCAGAGAUUCCGCUGGAGGAAAGCCAUGAUCCACAUGAUCAAGGAGAUUAAUAAGAGGAAGGAUAUUUUGCCCAACAUCACUUUGGGCUAUCAGAUCUUUGAUACUUGUUUUACCAUCUCCAAAUCAGUGGAAGCAGUCUUGGUAUUUCUUACAGGGCAGGAAGAAAACAGGCCCAAUUUUAGAAACAGCACUGGAGCAUUUCCGGCAGGAAUUGUUGGAGCAGGUGGAUCAUUCUUAUCAGUUCCUGCUUCAAGAAUUCUAGGGUUAUAUUAUUUGCCUCAGGUGGGCUAUGCCUCUACCUGUGUGAUUCUUAGUGACAAAUACCAGUUUCCAUCUUGUCUUCGUGUAAUAGCCAGCGAUAAGAUCCAGUCGAAGGCUAUGGUAAAACGUAUCCGACACUUUCCCCAUUCAGUGUGUACUGAUGUGUGUCCUCCUGGGACUCGGAAGGGGAUUCGUUCAGGGGGAACCAAUAUGCUGCUUUGACUCCAUCCCAUGUGCUGAUGGACACGUGUCACGGAAACCAGGUGAAAGGGAGUGUGAACAAUGUGGUGAAGACUAUUGGUCAAAUGUACAAAAGAGCGAGUGUGUGCUGAAAGACGUGGAAUACCUUGCUUAUGAUGAGGCCCUGGGAUUCACACUUGUCAUUCUUUCUGUCUUUGGGGCAUUUGUGGUCUUGGCAGUCACAGCUGUGUAUGUGAUACACAGGCACACUCCCCUGGUGAACGCCAAUGACUGGCAGCUGGGCUUUCUCAUUCAGGUUUCUCUGAUCAUCAUGCUGCUGUCGUCCAUGCUUUUCAUUGACAAGCCACACAACUGGUCCUGCAUGGCUGGCCAGGUCACUCUGGCACUGGGCUUUUCUCUUUGCCUGUCUUGCCUUCUUGGAAAGACUAGUUCACUGUUUUUAGCCUACAGAAUUUCCAAAUCCAAAACUCAACUUACAUCCAUGCACCCCCUUUAUCGGAAAAUCAUUGUGCUAAUCUCUGUUCUAGCGGAGAUUGGCAUAUGUACAGCCUACUUGAUAUUGGAACCUCCCAUGGUAUACAAGAACAUGGAACCUCAAAAUACAAAGAUCAUUCUGCGAUGCAAUGAAAUUUCCAUAGAGUUUUUGUACUCGAUGUUUGGAAUUGAUGCCUUCCUAGCCUUGCUAUGCUUUCUUACAACUUUUGUGGCUCGCCAGUUACCAGAUAAUUACUAUGAAGGAAAAUGCAUCACCUUUGGGAUGCUUGUCUUUUUCAUCAUUUGGAUCUCUUUUGUCCCUGUUUAUUUGAGCACCAAAGGCAAGUUCAAAGUGGCUGUGGAAAUAUUUGCAAUCUUGGCAUCCAGCUAUGGCUUGUUGGGUUGUAUAUUUGCUCCUAAGUGCCUCAUUAUUUUGCUGAGGCCAGAGAGGAACACCAAUGAAAUUGUUUGUGGAAGAGUCUCCACCACAGAUAAUUGCAUCCAACUGACCUCAGCUUUUGUGAGCAGUGAGCUUAACAAUACCACAGUGUCAACUGUUCUGGAUGAC
rnacentral:sRNA from 1 species